rnacentral:rRNA from 1 species
AGUGAACGCUGGCGGUAGGCCUAACACAUGCAAGUCGAACGGCAGCACAGUAAGAGCUUGCUCUUACGGGUGGCGAGUGGCGGACGGGUGAGGAAUACAUCGGAAUCUACUUUUUCGUGGGGGAUAACGUAGGGAAACUUACGCUAAUACCGCAUACAACCUACGGGUGAAAGCAGGGGAUCUUCGGACCUUUGGCGUUUGAAUGAGCCGAUGUCGAAUUAGCUAGUUGGGAGGGUAAAGGCCAACCAAGGCAACGAUCCGUGGCUGGUCUGAGCGGAUGAUCAGCCACACUGGAACUGAGACACGGUCCAGACUCCUACGGGAGGCAGCAGUGGGGAAUAUUGGACAAUGGGCGCAAGCCUGAUCCAGCCAUACCGCGUGGGUGAAGAAGGCCUUCGGGUUGUAAAGCCCUUUUGUUGGGAAAGAAAAGCAGCAGGUUAAUACCCCGCUGUUCUGACGGUACCCAAAGAAUAAGCACCGGCUAACUUCGUG